rnacentral:rRNA from 1 species
UACAGAGGGUGCGAGCGUUGUUCGGAAUUAUUGGGCGUAAAGGGCGCGUAGGCGGUGCGGUAAGUCACCUGUGAAAUCUCCUGGCUCAACUGGGAGCUUGCAGGCGAAACUGCCGUGCUGGAGUGUGGGAGAGGUGCGUGGAAUUCCCGGUGUAGCGGUGAAAUGCGUAGAUAUCAGGAGGAACACCGGUGGUGUAGACGGCUCACUGGACCGUAACUGACGCUGAGACACGAAAGCGUGGGUAGCAAACAGG